rnacentral:rRNA from 1 species
AAAAUGAUUUAUAUAGGUAUCGAUGACAAUGUUGAAUGUACGGUUAAGUAAUUAAAGGGAUUAUUAGGGAUGCCUAGCAGAUAUGUUGAAAAGGAAGUAUAAUACUAAAAGUAUAGAUACAAUCAGAAUAUUUAUACAAUCCUAAGGUAAACCGAAUAGUAUAGAACGUUGGGAAGUAAAACAUUACAGUACCAAUAGGAAAGGAAAUCAAAAGAGACUCUGGAAGUAAUGGUGAGUGAAACCAGAAUAGCCUAAAAUUUUAGUGACACACAUAGUACUUUGGAAUAAGUAGACUCGUACGUAUAAAAUAAUAAUUAUAGGUAUCGACCCAUAGAAGGUGAAAGUCCUGUAUGUGAUGAAACUAGAAAAGUAAUUAAGUAAUAUGAGGACGUCAGCCUUGUAUGAAUAAGGGGGUACCAUCCUCCAAGGCUAAGUAUAACAUAUCUAGCGAUAGUGAAGAGUAACGUGAGUGAAAGGUGAAAAGUAAGUAGAUGACUAGUGAAAUAGAACCUGAACUAGUAAUCCUAUAAGCAGUUGGAGUUUUUAGUAAAAAUGACAACGUACCUUUUGCAUAAUGGGUCAGCGAGUUAGUUUAUAGAGCAAGAUGAAUAAUCUAAGCGAAAGCGACUGUAAUAAGUGGAUCAAAAAUAGUUUUAUGAACUAGACCCGAAGCCAAAUGAUCUUACCAUGACCAGGCUAAAAAAGGGCCGAACAGGUGAAUGUUGCAAAAUUCUCUGAUGAGUUGUGGUAAGGGGUGAAAGGCCAAUCUAAUUUGGAUGAUAGCUGGUAUUCUGCGAAACCUAUUUAGGUAGGGCCUUUAUUUACACUUUUAUAUGUACAGCACUGAUCAUCAUACAUUAGCUAGAUAUUUAUAUCACUAUGUUAAAUUGGGGGGUUUCACAACUCUACCAUUGAUGGUUAACCUCGGAAGGAUAAUAGUGAAUGAUAAAGGCACAGUCUAUUCAUGAUAAGGUGGAUAGACAAAAGGGAAACAGCCCAGAGCACGUGUUAAGGUCCCAAAAUAUUGUUAAGUGAAUAUAAGAAAGUUUAACUCCUAAUACAACCAUGAAGUAGGCUUGGAGGUAGCCAUCUUUUAAUGAUAGUGUAACAACUCAGUGGUCUAAUUUGAGGAGAGAAGCGUCGAAAAUUAACGGGUCUUAGACAAUAUACCUACACCGUGACUAUUUAUAAUAAUAUCUCUUUUAUUAUAAAUAAGGGUAGCAGAACACUCAGUAUCUGAUUGAAGGAAAAUGUUUCAUUUUCUGGACAGUACUGAAGAGAAAAUGCUGACAUGAGUAACGUAGAAAGGAGUUAAAACACUCCUCGCCGAAUACGAGAGGGUUUCAUGGAGAAGUUAAUCUGCCAUGAGUUAUGCGGACUCUAAGGAAAAUAGGCGAAUGUCUAUAUCUGAUGAGAACUACUUGAAUUACACUGAAUUAUCUAUAUAUAAUAAUUAUUUUAUUCAUUUGUAUGUAAAUUUGCAGAGUUAGAAUAAUUAGAUCAAGAAAAAUAAGUGUCACUAUAUAAAUAGUGAAUCCGUACCCUAAACCGACACAGGUUCGUAGGUAGAGAAUACUAAGGCGUAGAGAUAAUGCUUGUGAAGGAACUCGGCAAAUUGUGCCCGUAAGUUAGACGAUAAGGGUAACCAGAAUAAAUAAUUAUAUUAAAAAUUCUGAGUGUCACAAAAUCGAGGGCUGCGACUGUUUACCAAAAACACAGCAACUUGCUAAGACGAAUAGUACUUGUAUAAGUUGUGAACUCUGCCCAAUGCCAUGUCGUGUAAAGAAGGUGAUCUAUUUAUUAAUUUCUAAUAAUAGAGUCACUAACUGAUGCCAUGGUGAAUGGCGGUCUUAACUAUAAGGAUCUGAAAGUAGCGAAAUUCCUUGGCCAUUAAAUGUGGUCCUGCAUGAAUGAGGUAACGUGGCCCUGCUGUCUCCACAAGCAUCUCAGUGAAAUUGAAUUAGCCGUGCAGAUGCGGUUUACCUUCAGUUAGACGGGAAGACCCUAUGCAGCUUUACUGUAACUUGAUAUUGUUUCUUCUAUAGCUAGGUGUAGUAUACAAGGGAGUAAAUAUUUUUUACAUCAGUGAAAUACCUUGACUAGUCUAAAGAAGAAACUUACCUGUAAUUUUCUAGUAGUACUACAUCUUAUAAAAAAGGAUCUUCAAUUUACAUUUAUAAGAUAGUCUUCUAUAAAUAAAAUUUUUAAUUUGAAUAGAGAUAUAGAAUAUUUUUAUUUUCAUAGAGUUAUUCUAUGGCUAUAUUAUAAGAACUUUGAGUAGUUUAAUAGCUAUUCUAUAAAGUCUUCUAUGAUAUUUAUAGGAACAAUUUUUUUUUUAAUUUACUAAAUUAAAAAUCAUAGGAAAAUUGUUCUAUAAGAUGUCAGGAAAUGAUUAAAUGGGAAAAUAUCAGGUGGUCAGUUUGACUGGGACGGUAGCCUCUAAUAAAGUAUCAGAGGCCUUCAAAGGUAUGCAUAUAUUGGUCAGAAACCAAUGAACUAUGUAAAGUUUAUUAAAGCGUAAUAGUGUAAGCAUGCUUGACUGAAAGACUGAUAGGUCAAUCAGAUACGCAAGUAGGAUAUAGUGAUCCGGUGAUUCAUAAUGGAAUGGUCAUCGCUCAAGAAAUAAAAGUUACGCUAGGGAUAACAGGUUUAUCGUUUGCGAGAGUUCAUAUUGUCCAAACGGUUUGACACCUCGAUGUCGACUCAUCUCAUCCUCCAGGUGCAGUAGCUUGGAAGGGUUCAGCUGUUCGCUGAUUAAAGAGGUACGCGAGUUGGGUUCAAUACGACGUGAGUCAGUAUGGUCCCUAUCUUCUGAAGGAAAAAGUAAUCGAUUAAGGACCUCCGGUUAGUACGAAAGGACCGCUGGGGAUGAUUCCAUGGUGUACCUAUUGUUACGUCUUUAGAUAUAGCACCGUAGGGUAGCCACAAUCAUGACAGAUAAGCGCUGAAAGCAUCUUAAGCACGAAGCACACCUUAUUAGAUUACAAGAAAUAGGAAGAAGACUACUUCUUUGUAUUUUACUUAUUAUUUUUAUAGUUUAUAAACUAUCUAUAUAAUUCUAUGUAAAUACAUAUAGGGUGCAAAUGUAA